UACGAAGGGGGCUAGCGUUGCUCGGAAUCACUGGGCGUAAAGGGUGCGUAGGCGGGUCUUUUAAGUCAGGGGGUGAAAUCCUGGAGCUCAACUCCAGAACUGCCUUUGAUACUGAGGAUCUUGAGUACGGGAGAGGUGAGUGGAACUGCGAGUGUAGAGGUGAAAUUCGUAGAUAUUCGCAAGAACACCAGUGGCGAAGGCGGCUCACUGGCCCGUAACUGACGCUGAGACACGAAAGCGUGGGGAGCAAACAGG
rnacentral:rRNA from 1 species